UGCAGGGCAUCACACCCCAACCUCAGAGGGCAAGCAAGUUGACAGCUGCACACCUUUGUCGCUGUGUGCUUAAACUGGUUUGGAGCCACCUCUUUGAGGUCCUGCCAGAAGCCUGCAUUCAGAAACAAUGGAGCCAGAAAUGAGUCCGUUUAAGAGCCACUUGUGCCCAUUCGCCCACACCUCAGGCGGGUCAAGCAGGCCGCUGUCACAUUCACUCAGGAUGUCUCUCUCUGGAGGUGCUUCUGGCUGCAGAAUUGUUUUCAAAACAGAAGAACGUUCUGAAUUCCGCCUUCCCCCACUCCGCUCUGUCAAUCUAUUGAUUAUGUGUGGAAUGAACUGGAGAACUCAACUAGGAGAUGAAGAAAAACCCUCAGAAACCUCAAGGCCAAGAGGACGUGGUGGAGGCCAACUUGGGGGUUGCAGGACAUCACCCACCUACCCACGAGAUGAUCUAUUAAUAGCUCAGUGGUUCUCACACCUGGGCAGGCAUUGGCAUUACCUGAAGCUGAGAUGAAACCCAAAUGGCUGAGUCCCGCACCCACAGUGUCUGAUUCAGCGAGUCUGGGGCGGGGCCUGACUGAAUUUCCUGCAAUACAGAAAAAUCUCUCUGGCUGCUGCCAGGAGGCUGCUGUGUAGGAGACUGAGCAUGGAAGCCCCAGCCCAGCCCUGCCCAGUUAGGAAGCAACUAUUGUAUUCAGCAAACCCUGCUGGCUCUAACGAGAAGUAUCAUCCCGAGUGCAUCACCAUCACUUCUCACCUCCAUGGCCUCUCAUUAUGCACUCUCUGCCUCUACUCUUGCCUUCCUGGAGCCGUUCUCCAGCCGUUAGCCAAAUGGGUCUUUUCAAAGUGCUGCUUAUGGAUUAGUGCUUUGGGCAGCUGCACAGAUAACCCACCUUUUGAUCUGGGUCCGCUUGGCACAAGAUACAAUAAAUGUCAUGAUAAAUGUCAGCCAGGAUUACAAUGCUUCCUUCACAAACCUUAGCACAGACGGUUUCAAUAAAGAUUGCUUGAUUAACUUUUUUCUUCUAAUUCAA
rnacentral:lncRNA from 1 species